GUUCAGUAUCCUCACAAUCUCUGAACAAAAUAUCUAAACACUUAAAAAUAUCUAAACACUUGUUGCCAUGUGGUGGAAACUCUUCUUGAAAUUAUUUGGAGAAGGGACAUCAUCCUCUGUUCUUGCAGAAGAUAGCAAAGUUUUAAGGAUUGGAUGGUUCUGAAACUCUCCAAGCAUCUUACUCACACCAAUACGAUUGAUCUUAUGCCUAAAGCCAUCAUUUUUGCUUGAAGGGCUUAUCCAUUUUGAUCGGUCGUUAAAUAUGUAUCUAGUGGAGAGAAAAGGAGGUGCCAUAGCUUGUAUGAUAUUAGCCUUACUAUCUCUAGGGACUUGGCCAGCAAUUCUUACACUAUUAGAGAGACGUGGUCGUCUUCCUCAACACACUUAUCUUGAUUACUCCAUCACUAAUUUGUUGGGAAUGUCCUAAAAUCAUUUGUAUAGUCAAGGUUCGAAAGUCGAAUAAUAUUAGAUAAUCAUAAUGUUUUGCUAGAAACCUCUUAUGAUCAA